GGCUUUGAUGCAAGUUUAUUUGCUGUCAUGCGAGAAAAACUGCAAGGAGUUCCUGGUAGAGAACGCCGACGUUAGACACCAUUCAGAAUUAACUUACAAUUGUUCUGUUUUUGAAUAAGCAGUGUAACUAAACAAAACAUUUUUACAGGUGUGCUCAUGUUUGAAGAGAUGAGUGUGCGGAAAAGUGUCCACGUCAGAGAAUCUGACAUGUCCCUUUUGGGGAAGGUCGAUUUUUCUGAGCACAUGAGGCCAACAGACCGCGAAAAGGAUGGCGACCACGUGCUCGUGUUUUUGUUCCGGCGCUUUCUUGGUGGCUGGUCCCAGACAUUGGGCAGUUUCUGUGCAUCUGGUGCUACACCAGGCUCAAUAGUAGCAAAACUGCUGCUUCAGUGCAUUGUGCACCUCACAAAUGCUUAUGUUUUGGUGGACGCCAUCGCGUGUGACAAUUCUACAUCCAAUUAGUCAGCUCUGAGGUUCCUGGGUAUCAGCGGCGACAUAAACAACACCAAGAACAUGUUUCAACACCCGUGUGAUCCAUCAAAAUUUAUUUACGUGGUGAUAGACCCUCCACAUGUAUUUAAGUGCAUUCGGAACAAUCUGCAGAAGGUUGGGAAGUUUCUGCUACCCCAAGGCCAAGAGGUUUUUCAUUGCCACUAUUCUGCCCUACUAGAGUAUGAAGAAGAGCAGGCUGAGCUUCGCAGAGUGCCCAAGAUAACUAAAGAGCACAUUGCCCCUAAUGCAUUUCAAAAAAUGAGUGUGCGGCUUGCUGUACAGUUGUUUAGUAAAAGCACUGCUGCAGCCGUGGAGUUCUACAGCAAACAAGAGGCAUGCGAGAAGCUACAUUACUCAACAGCAACAUCAGGCUUCACAAGACCCAUGAACAAGCUGUUUGACAGCCUUAAUUCUCGCAGGCUAGAGCAUGUAAAAUACAGUACAAUGAAGCUGAACACAUUGCUGUAAGUAAUUGAUAUUAUUACUGUAUUAAUAAGUGUUUGUGCUUAUGCUGAAAAUAUUAUUGAAUUUCAGACAUUGAAGGAGAAUAUAGCUUGGCUGGACGAUCGGCAGAAGUACAUCGAGUAGUUGCCUGUGCAGAGGCGAGCAUGUUUUCUGACCAAGACGACAUGUGCAGCACUUAGAAUAAUGCUGCGCAGUACAGUAGCACUAGUCGAGAGCUUCCUGAGCUCUGGUUUCCGCUAUGUGCUCGUAGUAAACUUCGGACAAGAUCCCUUGGAGCGCUUCUUUGGGAUAGUGAGGCAGGUUGCUGGCGAUGGAGGGCAGCCUACCGUCCAGCACUUCUUAUUCAUCUACCGUAUGCUAUCUGUAAACAACUUGGUGUGAUCACCCCAACGUGCUUCUGUUGAUGGUGAUGGGCCACAACUUCUCAAGCUUCAGGGCCUCUUCGAA
rnacentral:lncRNA from 1 species